rnacentral:tRNA from 1 species
CGCCUCGUCGGCGGGCGCCGCCGGCUCGGCGGUCUUACGGCGGCUGCGGCGGCCGGCACCGGUCCUGCUGCGGGGCGCGUCCGCCGGGGCGUC